rnacentral:misc_RNA from 1 species
GGACAAAAAAAAAAAAAAUUCACAUAUCCUCCAAAAGAACGGAAUCCCGAGACGAGAAUUCAUACAUAUAUUAUAAAGAAAUGAAAUGAAGUGACAAUCCUACUCUGAGACACCAAAAUCACACAAAUGAACCAAUCAUUCAUGUCAAAGAGCACCUUAGUAUCAGUGGGACUGUAAGUAAGAAGAUAAUAUAGCGAAACUGAGAGUGGAGAGUAUAAGGGAGAUGAGAGUAAAGCAUUUAGUGAUUAGUUGCAGUAGUAAUGCAAAUGGAGAUAGAAGGGACUGAAAACGAGGUUGAAGAAGACGAACGAGGAGAAAGAGGAGGAGGAGGGACCAGUAGAGAGAUUUUACCAAAGUUUUAGGGUUUUGGGUUUUAUUUUUUACCAGAUUUUAACACAUGGAUCUAUUGAGGGCUUUUGCUUUUAUUUUUUCUUCGAAAUAUCUAUUGUGGCUCCUCUCUCCCUCUAGUUUCAGUCAACUGCCAUCAGGGAUACGGUGUCGUUCUUAAGGACCAACACUGAGUUUUUCUGAGAACCCAGCUGCGCCCAACCAAAGCCUCACCAGGGCGAGAAAUAGGUCUGGAGUCAGGGCUUGUCUCUCUGUGCUAAUGUCCUAUAUAUUUGUUGUUCUUUUGCUUAUUGUGAAGAGAGCUUCCAAACAAGGAUGUUGGAUAACGAUUGCCCGCUCUUAACCCCACCUCGAAAACGAUCAUCUCUGAAAACCCAAUCGCAUUUAAACACCUUCCCUACCCUCUUUGGAAACACAAGGUUCGUCUGAAUUUAUCAUUUUCUUUUUCUUGUUUCCAAAUUUUUUUUUAUCUUGCAUUCAAUGGGGGGGGGGGACAUGUUUGUUCAAUUGCCUUUGGAAUGGUGAAGUGUAGUUGAGGGAGAGCUGUUACAGAAGGGUGCGCAAGGACAGCAAUCGCUUGCUUUGGAAAUGAGGUUGCCCCGCUGCUAAAUCCCUCGGUAACAAGGUUUUCUUUCUUAAUUACAUAUUUUAUUGUACCUUCUUUGGAAUAAUAUUCUGUAUUCACUUGUUUUCUUGUUUAUCUUUAUUGGGUCUUCCAAGGUUUAUCUAUUCUUUGGACUGAUUGGGUCUUAGGUAUUGGAUUUUCAUGUAUGGAAUGCUUUGUGAUUUUGGCAUUAAAACGUUGAGAUAUUUGACCCUUAGUUAGCUGCUAUGAAUGUGCAUUAUAAUUAGGUUAGAAUAUGUACUUUCCUAUUUUAAUUUUCUUUCUAUUUUGCAACCUUCCUAUUUGUAUAAAUUCUGGUCAAGUUUGAGGGAAUAAUAAAGCUUUAAGGUUUUAUCUUCUUCAUCAUCUCUCUUUCUUCUUCCUUUCUAAUCUAUUUCAUGGUAUCACAGCUAAAAAAAGGCAUUAUUUCCUUUUAUUUCUCUGUUCCUAUUAAAAAAAAGCACUGCCAUCUUUAGUUUACUCGUUCUUAGAAGGAGGUAGAUGACACCACCAGUCUAGGAAGGUUCUGUAGCUGUCACCCCUCAGAAUUCUAGCACCAGAUUCUUCUCCAUAUCCCCACUAGCCGACACAGUGUGUCCAGCAUCGUUACAUGUGACAACCCCGUCAGACUUUCUGGGUUCCGUUAGACGUUUCAAUUGUCAAAUAGCCAGCUGCACCCACCUCUUCUGAUUUCCAGCCCUUCACCAGCCAAGAUGGCAAUUUGAUGAAGUUUGUAAGAGAGAUUCAUACCAUGUUUUUGGGCUGAAGGCUUGAUGCUACUUUUGUUAAGGAGGAUUCCACAGAGCCGACUUAUGAACCCGCCAGGAGUUCCAGAAAGAAUCCUUCAACAUCUACUGCUCUUGUCCCCUAAGUAUCUCUGCCACUUUUGCAGAUUUUCUUUACUAUAGAAAAUUGUUAACUCGGUCUCUGUCCUUUUUCAUGUUCCAAUGAUGCCCCUCUUUCCACAUUCUGCUUUCAUAGUACCAAAGCUUUUUAGGUUCGAUUGUCUACUAACCAGAUUGGAUCUCUCGUUCCUAUCUACCUCAUUGAUCAUCUCUUCAUUUUCAAACCCUGUACCCAAUCCAGUCAAGGCUCAGAUUGCUCAAGAGGACAUCCGACAGCUUUUUGCUUUGUCCUUAGACCGGCUAACUGUCAAUAACAUUACUCAUGCUAAUAGCUCAAUUGCCCUUCUGUUUUGAACCCCCUUAUCUGACAAUGAUCGGGCUCAUUUAAGAACUCUCCAGACAUACUUAACACAUCUCUUCACGAGCUAUCAACUAGUCACUUCUGAGGACACUUCCUUAGAACUGCAACUGAAAUAGUUCCAGGACUACAAGAUAAAAAGUGAGUAGGUAGAAGCUACCAUCAUUGCUCAUAGUGACACAGUCGCCCUGCUCAAAGCCAAUCUCCAAACCAAAGAGCAGAAGAUGGAAGAGCUCAUUGCAGAAUUGAAGAGAGAAUUUGUCAAAGCAAGUGACAACAUGGCUAGAUUGGUUAACAUCUCUAGGCUUCGGACAGAGAAAGAGGCUUGCCUUUAGGGCUUAGCGUAAUCCUUGAGCACCAACUGUCAGCAAUCCAGGGAGUGGCUUGCUUGGAGGUAGCAUCUAGCCAAACAGAAAAGAGAGCAUAAUGAGCUUUGGGAUCGCCGCUGGACUCCUUCGAGUCUCAACUUUCUGUGAUUGAGUUGUACCCCAGUAGUUUGAGGUUAUUUUUUAUGCACUCAUAGUUAUUCCUCCAUCUCCAUUGCACAUUUGUACAACCGUGUGAUCGACUUUUGUAUUGAUUUGAUUUUGAUGAUGUAUAGGCUGAGCCCUGAUUUUUAGCUGUGAACUGAUGAGUAGGGUUAAGUCCUCUACUUGUGAUUGUUAUUUGAUGACCAAGGUUGAGCCUUUUGAUAUGCCAUUGCCACCCACUGUACUCUAUAUGAACUAUUUUGAGCAGAUAAAGCCCUUCUGCUUGCUUUGUUUAACUUAUCUGGCCAUGAUAGGAACAGUAGAACAACUUCUCUGAAAACUGUUUGUCCAUUAUACUAUUGCUUUAAUUUUGAUGAUACCACAGCUCAGUGGCCUUAAGGCCAGUCCCAUGUGGGUCAACUCAAUGGCCUUGCACCACUUCUUCUUGAACUUUAGAUUGUGCCACUUUUAAGAUACUAGGAUAGGACCUUUUAAGAUGGUGUACAUUGAUGCACUUUUAUGGAGAACUCCAUCUAGAUUAAAUAAUUGGUAUGCAUUAUGUCUCAAGAUUGCAUGCACCUUGGAUGGCCCUUCCAAUUGGGUGAUCAUUUUUCCAAUUCUCUGUCUUUUGUCCUUGGACGCAAGAUGACCUUCCCCACCAACUCGCUUUCCACAAAACUUUUCUUCUUCACCCUUUUGUUGUAUGCUCGCGCCACCUUCUUCUGAGUCGCCAUUCUUUUAAAGGUAUCCAUCCUUUCGUCGUCCAAAUCCUCAAGCUCCAUUGCCAUAGCCUCAAUAUAUUCAUUUGGAGUCAAACCAUGCUGUCGGGCCCUGGAGAUGCAAUAGUAAGUGGUGUUGGGAAUGAUGAACUGGUACC